CACUUGCAGCAUAUGGAAGUUCCCAGGCUAGGGAUUGAAUUGGAGUUACAGCUGCUGACCUACCCACGGCCACAGCAAUGCUGGAUCCGAUCUGUGUCUUCGACCUAUACCACAGCUCACAGCAAUGCAGGAUCCUUAACCCACUGAGCAAGGCCAGGGAUCAAAUACGUAUCCCCAUGGAUCCUAGUUGGGAUCGUUAACUGCUGAGCCACCAGGGAAACUCUUAGUGUGUCACUAUUUUAAUUGGUGAAUAUGACAUAUAGACAGGGGUGCCCCUGUUGGGAGUCAUCAACCAAGCUUUUGUAUCACAAGACCUAAACUCCCUUAGGAGGAAAGGAGAGUGUUACUGGAGUCUCUCUUACAUUGGGGGUCAAAUCCAUUCACAUCUGUUUCCCAUCUCUAUGGAAACAGGAUUGAAAUGCAGAGCCAAGUGCUCAGAAACCCUGGGUCUGAGGCAGAAUGCUCCCACCUGUUCUCAGCUGCCAUGAGUACUGCUGAACAGCGGACGGUCAAGGCCGCACCGCCACGUGUGUGUGCAGAGCACACACUCCAGGCAGCUGGGGCUGGUGACAAGCGCCUCGGUGUUGCCCUUUCCACCCUCUCAGAAGAUACACCUUCAAGUGGGACUCUUGUGCUGCUCACACCAUCCUCAGGGUGUUGGGUGGAACAGUGGACUUAAAAGAACACUUGGGAGUUCCCGUCGUGGCUCAAGACGUCUCUGGAGCACUGGGACAUAGGUUCGAUCCCUGGCCUGGCACAGUGGAUUAAGGAUCAGAUCAGGAUCUGGUCCCUGGCCAGGGAACUCCAUAUGCUGCGGGGCAGCCAAAAAAAGAGAGAGAGAGAAAAAAAAAAAGAAUGCUUGGGAAGAAUCCUGGACACAGGGCUUGGCUUGCCACCAUUGGUGUACCACGUGGGAAGCAAAGGCCCUGCUGGAGUGGAUCAGUGGGCCAACAAGGGAGGACCAAUCGCAUACAGAUCAAGGAAACAGCUGGAGACCUUCCUGAGCCUCCUUAUCUGACACUUCACCCCUGUGGAUGCCCUUGCAUACAUGAGCUCUGGCCUCACGUACUCUGGAAACCCAAAUGUGAGUCUCCUUUGUUUCCACAUCUCUGUCUUUGGAAGACCACCUCGUCUUACUGAUGGCCAACAUUCACCUUCCUCUUCUGAGAAGCACUUUUCCAUUAUGUGUUCAUAAUGUUAAUGUCAAUAAAUGAAUGAGGAGUUCCCACCAUGGCUCAGUGGAAACGAAUCUGACUAGUAUCCAUGAGGACGCAGGUUUGAUCCUGGCUUCACUCAGUGGGUUAAGGAUCCAGUGUUGCUGUGAACUGUGGUGUAGGUCGAAGACAUGGCUCGGACUUUGUGUUGCUGUGGCUGUGGUGUAGGCCAGUGGCUAAAGCUCCUAUUUGACCCCUAGCCUGGAAACUUCCAUAUGCUGCACAUGUGACCCCACAAAGACAAUAAAUAAAUAAAUAAAUAAAUAAAAUUAAACAUAUAUAUGCACAUAUAAACAUUCAUAUAUACACAUAUAUAAUUGCAUUCCUUUGCUACUAAAAUCUAAUGCAACAUUGCAAAUCAACUAUGUUUCAAUUAAAAAAAAAAUAUAUGUCCUUAAAGAGAAAGGGAGGAAGCAUUUGUAGAGGGAAGGAGUAAUUCGUAUGACAAAUGCUGCUAGCAGAUCAAAGAGGACUGAAAAUUGACCGUGACAUUUACCAUGUGAAGGUAACAUCCAUUACCUUGACUCAGGCAACCACGUGAUGAAGGGGAAGUCUGACUUUAACGAUUUAAAGAGAGACAUGGAGGAGAGAAAAGGAGAACAGAACAUAUGUACCUCUCUUGAGGAGUUUUUCUGUAACAGGGAAGAAAGAAAUAGAACAGUAGCUGGAGGCGGGUGUGUUUUUAAACCAAUACUAUGGAGGCAUAUUUUAUAUAUGAUGUAAUAUAAAAUAAAAUGCUUACAUUUUUACUGUAUUCUUCCUCACCCUCAAACCCAGGAAACCACUGAUCAGAUUUCCAUCACCAUUGACUUUGCCAGUUCUAGACAUAAAUCAUGGAAUCAUAUAAUAUGCAAUCUUUUGUGUUUAGUUUCUUUCUCCAAGAUUUAUCUCUGUUAUAUUUAUUAGCAGAUCAUUCCAUUUUUUAUUGGUGACUUGUAUUCUGUUCAUGGACACACAUGACUCUAUUAUCUGUUUGUUGAUGGGAUAUUGGAGUUGCUUAUGUAAACAAUAUUUAUAAUGUGUAAAUGAGUAUAGUAUAUACACAGAGAAACACAAAAUUUGUUUGUAUGUGUGGUGAUGAAUGUUAACUAGAUUUAUUUUGGUGAUUAUUUUGUAAUAUACACAAAUACAGAAUCAUAUUAUACAUCAGAAUGUUAAUUUCUUCAUAUUUUUAUAAUACAAAGAUAUUUCAUUGCAUUCUGCACAAUUUUAAGAUGAUUUAUAAACAUGUAAAUAUUAUAUAUUAGAUAAAUAAUAUAUCCUAUUUAUAUGAGUAUAAUUCAUUGUAUCAUUUGUGUAUAAAUAAUUUUCAUAUAAUUAUGCUGCUAUAUUAUAUACAUUUAAUCUUGUCUGGAUUAAAAUAGUUUCUUUGUGCAAGGAAAACCUUAUCUGAUCACUAGUUAU
rnacentral:lncRNA from 1 species